rnacentral:rRNA from 1 species
UACGUAGGGUCCAAGCGUUAAUCGGAAUUACUGGGCGUAAAGCGUGCGCAGGCGGUUGUGUAAGACAGAUGUGAAAUCCCCGGGCUUAACCUGGGAACUGCAUUUGUGACUGCACGGCUAGAGUGUGAUAGAGGGGGGUAGAAUUCCACGUGUAGCAGUGAAAUGCGUAGAUAUGUGGAGGAAUACCAAUGGCGAAGGCAGCCCCCUGGAUCAAUACUGACGCUCAUGCACGAAAGCGUGGGGAGCAAACAGG